rnacentral:rRNA from 1 species
UGGGGAAUGUUGCACAAUGGGCGCAAGCCUGAUGCAGCCAUGCCGCGUGUGUGAAGAAGGCCUUCGGGUUGUAAAGCACUUUCAGCGGGGAGGAAGGCGAUAAGGUUAAUAACCUCAUCGAUUGACGUUACCCGCAGAAGAAGCACCGGCUAACUCCGUGCCAGCAGCCGCGGUAAUACGGAGGGUGCAAGCGUUAAUCGGAAUUACUGGGCGUAAAGCGCACGCAGGCGGUCUGUCAAGUCGGAUGUGAAAUCCCCGGGCUCAAACUGGGAACUGCAUUCGAAACUGGCAGGCUAGAGUCUUGUAGAGGGGGGUAGAAUUCCAGGUGUAGCGGUGAAAUGCGUAGAGAUCUGGAGGAAUACCGGUGGCGAAGGCGGCCCCCUGGACAAAGACUGACGCUCAGGUGCGAAAGCGUGGGGAGCAAACAGG